rnacentral:rRNA from 1 species
AUUGAACGCUAGCGGGAUGCUUUACACAUGCAAGUCGAACGAGUGGCGGACGGGUGAGUAAUAUAUCGGAACGCGCCCAGUAGCGGGGGAUAACUUCUCGAAAGAGUGGCUAAUACCGCAUACUCUUGGUUCGCCCGAUAUCGGAUUAGCUAGUUGGUGGGGUAAAGGCUCAUCAAGGCAACGAUCCGUAGCUGGUUUGAGAGGACGACCAGCCACACUGGGACUGAGACACGGCCCAGACUCCUACGGGAGGCAGCAGUGGGGAAUUUUGGACAAUGGGGGAAACCCUGAUCCAGCCAUGCCGCGUGUAUGAGAAGGCCUUCGGGUUGUAAAGUACUUUUGGCAGAGAAGCGGUAUCUGAAGAAUAAGCACCGGCUAACUACGUGCCAGCAGCCGCGGUAAUAG